AGCGAACGCUGGCGGCAGGCUUAACACAUGCAAGUCGAACGGUCCUUCGGGAUAGUGGCGGACGGGUGAGUAACACGUGGGAACGUACCCUUAGGUUCGGAACAACACAGGGAAACUUGUGCUAAUACCGGAUAAGCCCUUCGGGGGAAAGAUUUAUCGCCUUUGGAGCGGCCCGCGUCUGAUUAGCUUGUUGGUGAGGUAAUGGCUCACCAAGGCUACGAUCAGUAGCUGGUCUGAGAGGAUGGCCAGCCACACUGGGACUGAGACACGGCCCAGACUCCUACGGGAGGCAGCAGUGGGGAAUCUUGCGCAAUGGGCGAAAGCCUGACGCAGCCAUGCCGCGUGGAUGAUGAAGGUCUUAGGAUCGUAAAAUCCUUUCACCGGGGACGAUAAUGACGGUACCCGGAGAAGAAGCCCCGGCUAACUUCGUGCCAGCCGCCGCCAAA
rnacentral:rRNA from 1 species